rnacentral:rRNA from 1 species
UACGUAGGGGGCAAGCGUUGUCCGGAAUCAUUGGGCGUAAAGAGCGUGUAGGCGGCCCGGUAAGUCCGCUGUGAAAGUCCAGGGCUCAACCCUGGGAUGCCGGUGGAUACUGUCGGGCUCGAGUCCGGAAGAGGAGUGUGGAAUUCCUGGUGUAGCGGUGGAAUGCGCAGAUAUCAGGAGGAACACCAAUGGCGAAGGCAGCACUCUGGGACGUGACUGACGCUGAGACGCGAAAGCGUGGGGAGCAAACAGG